AGGGAAUAUUGCGCAAUGGACGCAAGUCUGACGCAGCAACGCCGCGUGGGUGAUGAAGCAUUUCGGUGUGUAAAACCCUGUCAGUGGGGAAGAAACCUGUUGGGAGUAACUGCCCUUCAGCUGACGGUACCCA
rnacentral:rRNA from 1 species